rnacentral:rRNA from 1 species
UAACGUCAGCGGCAGACGGGUGAGUAACGCGUGGGAACAUACCUCUUGGUUCGGAACAACACAGGGAAACUUGUGCUAAUACCGGAUAAGCCCUUACGGGGAAAGAUUUAUCGCCGAGAGAUUGGCCCGCGUCUGAUUAGCUAGUUGGUAGGGUAACGGCCUACCAAGGCGACGAUCAGUAGCUGGUCUGAGAGGAUGGCCAGCCACACUGGGACUGAGACACGGCCCAG